GUACACCGGUGGUAGUGAGGACCUGAGACGUGAAACGCGAUGAAACAACAAUGUAGUGAUCUUUAGCUUCUUGAUCAGCUGUAAUGAGCACAGAGUAGGUUUGGCCAACAUGAACAUCAAGUGAAGAAUAGGUAGUUUGCAAUUGUGAAACGCGAUGAAACGACAAUGUAGUGAUCUUUAGCUUCUUGAUCAGCUGUAAUGAGCACAGAGUAGGUUUGGCCAACAUGAACAUCAAGUGAAGAAUAGGUAGUUUGCAAUGUGUGUGUUCCUUCUACUUCAACUAAUUUCAUCUUGUGUCCUUCAAUACGGAAGUUCAGCGAAUUUUGUAAUCCAACAUUGGAUAUCCUCAGUCU
rnacentral:lncRNA from 1 species